UACGUAGGUGGCAAGCGUUACUCGGAAUCACUAGGCGUAAAGCGCAGGUAGGCGGUUUGGUAAGUCUGUUGUGAAAGCUCCUGGCUUAACUGGGAGAGGUCAACGGAAACUGCCAGGCUCGAGUGUGGUAGAGGUAGCUGGAAUUCCCGGUGUAGCGGUGAAAUGCGUAGAUAUCGGGAGGAAUACCUAUGGCGAAAGCAGGCUACUGGACCAUCACUGACGCUGAUCUGCGAAAGCUAGGGGAGCAAACGGG
rnacentral:rRNA from 1 species